AGCUUUGCGCAGUGGCAGUAUUAUAGCCAAUGAUGUUUUAUCCAAGGUGUGUAUUGCUAAUUAAAAACUUUUCCCAGGCCAGGCGUGGUGGCUCACACCUGUUAUCCCAGCACUUGGG
rnacentral:snRNA from 1 species